GGCUCGCUCUCUCCGUCGCUCGGUAGCUAUGUCAGGCAGCCGGUCCGUUUCGCGUCGGCGACUUUCUGGAUUAGGUCGCGGGGGGACGGGGGGUAGGGGCAGGCCGGUAGGGGUAGGGGUAGGCCGGUAGGGCGGCCCCAGCAGGCGGCCUGGCGGCAAGGAACGGAGGAAGGUGGCUCUUCCGCUCUUCUCAGCGGCGAGACGAGGGGAAGCUCGCGAGGAACGGACCGACCACCUAGACGUCGGUGGUGCUCGGCGGCGGGCGGCCAGCGGCCUGCAGGCUUGAGGCAUCGGGCCGUCUCUACUCCUCGACGACGGGUUCGAAGACUUACCGAAUUAGGGACGACUUAAGGAUCAAGCACUGCGGGAAACCAAAAACCUUGGUUUCUACUUCUCCUUACCACUGUAAGUCAGGAAAAAAGCCUUAAUACUCCGACGAUUUUCUUUCUUCCAACGUCGGCUUCUCGUUGGACUUCUAUAUCACAGUUUAUAACUUCUACUUCGUCAGGUAUUAGGUGGAGGUCAGGUAAGACGUCUCUAACUUAAACUAUAACUUCUACUUCGUCAGGUAAGGCUACAUCUCUAACUUUCACUAACACUUCUACUUCGUCAGGUAAGAGGCACACGUUCCGGUAUAUUAUAAGUUUCCGAAGGAGGACUAGGUCCCCUCUCCUAAGGAUAAAGUCUCAUACUACAGCUACUAGUUCUACUUCAAGCCUCUGCUAUGUAACGUUUCGUUCGUCAGGUUGGUAUACGUGUGUUGAAAGUUCAGUCUUUUUAGAUACCAUUUUUAGCUGUGAAGUUGAAACAAACCAAACUCUGGAUAUUUACCAAUCUUAUAUCACAGUUUAUACUCCGUCGUAAAACGAAACAACAAUAAACAAGUUUCCUUUUAGCUUACCCCCCGGAUCCCCACUACGGAAACAAUUACCACCAACCUUUUUAACCAUAUUCGGGCUACGUAACCAGUUUGUACAAAAGUUAGAAGUGAACUACGAACAAUAAGAACCGAUAUGUUUACUCAACAGGUUUAGACACGUUUUCUCUCUAGUUCUAUAACAGUUACGUUACUGUGAACAAUCAAACCGCUUCUCAUCUUACGUUGUGUACUCCAGAGUACCAACCCUUCUUAAAGAACGUUUCGAUUGGAAUAAAACGUUGUUUGUACUGUAAGUUCAAGGAAACACCCUCCUAUAAAUAUUCGGAUUAGCUUCUAGUGCAGCCAUAAUACUUCAUGUUUGUUUACUACUAGCAAUAUCUUCUCUUCAUAUAGAACCACAGUAACUAGUUUGGUAAGUUCUCGAACUGUUAGCCAAACUACUCCAAUUAUGCCUCAACGAAUAAACGUACAGCCGAAACUUAGGGGAGUUAAGUAAACGAAGAAUACUACGUGAGUUCCAUUACUCUGAACGACUUAAGAUAGGGUACCUGUAAAGUUCGUGUCUAAACUAUUCCGAUCUUAAAGUUGAAUGAUUAAAAUAACUACUAUACUCUGUUCUACUAUCCAAAUCUUUACGUUCAUUAUAACCACUCGAGAGAUAAUACGAACAACGUUGUUUCUUCGUACAAGAAAUACUGAACCAGAUGAAUGAGUAGUUUAACUAUAACUAAAAUGGCCACCGCUGCCGUUCACAACUUUCUCAUAAAAGUCGUUACUUAGAUCACUUUUUAUUCAACUCCUGAUGAUACCCACUACUAGCGAACUUACUAACGAACCACUGUAAACAACUUGCCCUACACAAGUACCUUCAUUCGUUUCUACUGUAUCAAUUACGAAAGUACCGUUACGUUUUUGCAUCUCAAUGGAUCACUACAUUCAAAGAUGAAUACGAAGAAAGUACAUUCUGAUAAGGAUAACAUUAACUCGUGUAAACUCUAUAUAAAACACUUGAUUUAACAACACUCUAAACGUAAUUCGAUGAGUACAAUAAUAAAACGGUAUAAAACAGACUGUGUACCUAAUCCACCCUUUUUUUUAAAUCUCACACGUGUGGGAAGUAAAAAAAGGACCCAGGCGGUGACGCAUCGUGGCACCAGUUACCUCAUUAUCAUCAUGAUCAUUUGAACAUUGUCCAAUUUAAAGGAAGAAGGUAUCACAUUAUUAUCCAAAUUUAAAGGAAGGUACCUGUACCUCACGUCCGACAUAUCU
rnacentral:rRNA from 1 species